rnacentral:rRNA from 1 species
AACACGUAGGCAACCUGCCCUCAAGACUGGGAUAACUACCGGAAACGGUAGCUAAUACCGGAUAAUUUAUUUCACAGCAUUGUGGAAUAAUGAAAGACGGAGCAAUCUGUCACUUGGGGAUGGGCCUGCGGCGCAUUAGCUAGUUGGUGGGGUAAYGGCUCACCAAGGCGACGAUGCGUAGCCGACCUGAGAGGGUGAACGGCCACACUGGGACUGNGNCNCNGCCCAGACUCCUACGGGAGGCAGCAGUAGGGAAUCUUCCGCAAUGGGCGAAAGCCUGACGGAGCAACGCCGCGUGAGUGAUGAAGGUUUUCGGAUCGUAAAGCUCUGUUGCCAAGGAAGAACGUCUUCUAGAGUAACUGCUAGGAGAGUGACGGUACUUGAGAAGAAAGCCCCGGCUAACUACNUGCCAGCAGCCGCGGUAAUACGUAGGGGGCAAGCGUUGUCCGGAAUUAUUGG